AUUGAACUCUGGCGGCAGGCCUAACACAUGCAAGUCGAGCGGAGCGGCGGACGGGUGAGUAAUGCCUAGGAUUCUGCCUGGUAGUGGGGGAUAACGUCCGGAAACGGGCGCUAAUACCGCAUACUAUCAGAUGAGCCUAGGUCGGAUUCGCGAGUUGGUGGGGUAAAGGCCUACCAAGGCGACCAUCCGUAACUGGUCUGAGAGGAUGAUCAGUCCCACGGGAACGGAGACACGGUCCAGAAGCCUCCGGGAGGCAGCAGUGGGGAAUAUUGGACAAUGGGCGAAAGACUGAGCCAGCCAUGCCGAGUGUGUGAAGAAGGUCUUCGGAUUGUAAAGCACUUUAAGUUGGGAGGCGGUACCUGAAGAAUAAGCACCGGCUAACUACGUGCCAGCAGCCGCGGUAAUAC
rnacentral:rRNA from 1 species